UAUUUCUUUUAGAAUCGAGCGUCUGGAGUUCCUAGAUGAGCGGGAGCUUCUGCAACAACUGCUUCAACACUACAGCAUCUGCUGGGCCACCAAGGACAAACUCAACCUGGGUCUGUCGCAGCUGGCAUUUUGAGUGUGAAACUGCUCCGCUGUUGGGACAUGAUUUACACGCGUGCACGCCAAAAUCAACAGCAGGAGAAGAAGAGGGAAAGGAGACGUUGGGAAAGAGGAAGCCCGUGUCCUCCGUCAGGCCGUCGUCCGGGAGCUGUUCCGGUGCAAAAACUCCCGCCAUCAGCAGAAUGUGAUUUGACGAGCGUCCUUUGUGACCUCACAGGUCUCCAAGAUGAGACAUGAAGAGGCUGAGGACUGUGAGGACAUUUGUCUCUGCAUUGAGUUACUCUCUGCACAAUCCCUUAUUUCAAAACCUGCUUACCUGUGUUAGAUAUAAAAGUCUUCAGAUGUCUUAUAUUUGUCCUUUUCUGGUUUUAUGUGCCAUUUUGUUUUUAUUUAUUAAUCAGUUGUACUUCCACAGUCAUUUUCUUUUAAAACAGACACACUCGUGCAUGUGAUAUAACUAGUGAUUCUAUUUGAUGAAGGCUGUUUAACUGCAGUUGAAUAAAAAAGUCCUUUUGUGUAA